CAAGAACAUCAAAGUUCUUGAGAAGCACCUUGAGGAAGCUUCCAGCUCCAGAUCCCAUCUCCCUCGCCGAUCCCUCUCCUAAAAUGCAGUGUGCUUUUUCCUUGUCUUCCUUCUUGUUCUUAUUUUUCAGUUUCUGGAUAUCGCAGCAGACAAAUAUGUUACAAGCCAAGACUGAGACGAGCAGAGUAAGAGAAACGAGGAACAUGCCAAAAGGCCGGUGGCUAGCCUACUAGCAAGUGCACCGUAGAGUUAACUAGUCCCUCCUAUCAAUCCGUUCAAAUUGCGGAGGUAUCUAAUCGUCCUCCGUAUUGACCGUUUAUCACGGGUAGGCUCACCCUGCUUAAUUUUUGUUGGAGCGAUU
rnacentral:misc_RNA from 1 species